GCAGGCGGUUUCUUAAGUCUGAUGUGAAAGCCCCCGGCUCAACCGGGGAGGGUCAUUGGAAACUGGGGAACUUGAGUGCAGAAGAGGAGAGUGGAAUUCCACGUGUAGCGGUGAAAUGCGUAGAGAUGUGGAGGAACACCAGUGGCGAAGGCGACUCUCUGGUCUGUAACUGACGCUGAGGAGCGAAAGCGUGGGGAGCGAACAGGAUUAGAUACCCUGGUAGUCCACGCCGUAAACGAUGAGUGCUAAGUGUUAGGGGGUUUCCGCCCCUUAGUGCUGCAGCUAACGCAUUAAGCACUCCGCCUGGGGAGUACGGUCGCAAGACUGAAACUCAAAGGAAUUGACGGGGGCCCGCACAAGCGGUGGAGCAUGUGG
rnacentral:rRNA from 2 species